rnacentral:lncRNA from 1 species
UCUUUUUUUUUAAAUAAAUGUGUUUAGUUCCGAUGCAAAGACCCUAUAAGUGAAUCAAUAUUAAAGCCAAAAUAUGCAAUCUUUAAUGACUUGACAACAAUAUCGUAAAUAUAUCCCUUCUUGAUUAAAGGUUGUGUAAGCUUUUGAGGUGAAUACUGACAUUUUUGUGCUUUGUAAAGAAUAUUACCAUAAAAAAAUGGAUGUGAAAUACCUGAACGUUUAAGAUGUCUGCCUGUUGAGUUAUAUUUUCG